GCCAGCCCGACUGGACCCCCGACAGCACCCGCCUCAUGUAGAUACUGCUGGCUCCUCGCCCCCGCCCGGCCCCCCAACAGCACCUGCCUCACAUAAGUACCUCCGGCUCCCUCUCCCCUUCUGUCUGACACCACCCGGCCAGCCCGACUGGACCCCUGACAACACCCGCCUCAUGUAGAUACUGCUGGCUCCUCGCCCCCGCCCGGCCCCCCAACAGCACCUGCCUCACAUAAGUACCUCCGGCUCCCUCUCCCCUUCUGUCUGACACCACCCGGCCAGCCCGACUGGACCCCUGACAACACCCGCCUCAUGUAGGUACAACUGGCUCCCCGC